CACUCCUACGGGAGGCAGCAGUGAGGAAUAUUGGACCAUGGGUGGAAGCCUGAUCCAGCCAUCCCGCGUGCAGGAAGACGGCCCUAUGGGUUGUAAACUGCUUUUAUCUGGGGAUAAACCUACUUACGUGUAAGUAGCUGAAGGUACCAGAAGAAUAAGCACCGGCUAACUCCGUGCCAGCAGCCGCGGUAAUACGGAGGGUGCAAGCGUUAUCCGGAUUUAUUGGGUUUAAAGGGUCCGUAGGCGGACUGAUAAGUCAGUGGUGAAAUCCGACAGCUUAACUGUCGAACUGCCAUUGAUACUGUUAGUCUUGAGUAAGGUUGAAGUGGCUGGAAUAAGUAGUGUAGCGGUGAAAUGCAUAGAUAUUACUUAGAACACCAAUUGCGAAGGCAGGUCACUAAGUCUUAACUGACGCUGAUGGACGAAAGCGUGGGGAGCGAACAGGAUUAGAAACCCCUGUAGUCCCA
rnacentral:rRNA from 1 species